AGUAAAGAAGUGAUGAUUGUUGCAUAGUUCAGAUGAGAUUCAUCUCUGAUUAAUUGAAACAGAAAUUAGUCUUUCGCUCCUAUCUGAUCACCCAC